rnacentral:lncRNA from 1 species
UUUUUCCCUGUAGGGCAAAAUUUCCAAAGCCCUGAGUCUUUUUUUUUUUUUUUUUUUUUGUAUAUGACUCCUGGAAGAUGAACAGGAGUCUGAGUUCAAGCACAUAAAUGAAUAUUCUAAACACACACACACACACACACACACACACACCAAAGCUGCUAAAUCUGGAACAUUCUUAACAGGAAACGAAACUGAUGAAAGAGGGGUAGCAAGGAAAAAGGCUAUAGCCAAAGGCUGCAUCUGCCUAAGAAACCGGGUCACACUGACAGGUUUUAUAAAAUGGGUGCUUAGAAUUCUGCAUGACAGCUGUACAAAGCUCUUCAGCUUCACUUUCCUGCCUCAAAAAUAGCAGAGGCUCAGGGUAUAAUAGAUCCCAUCCCCGAUAAGUAAAACUGUCUUAUCCUUGAAAGACUUGAGGGCAAACUGCAUUCCCACCUUAAAAACAUCCUGACCACAUCUUCUGCUCUCCAUUUCUUACAUGAAAAAUAGCCCAAGGAAGAGGAGAUGAAAGCAUGCUGAAAACCUUCUUCUUUAAAGACUGGGCAGGCCAUUUAGGUCUCCUCCAGCAUUUAGGAGAGCUCAGUCCAUUAGUUUUCAAUGAUAGGUCUGUUCCUUUGCAAUUUAUUUCAAUUCAACAAAAUUUCAAGUAAUUUAGAUACUAUAAGAUUAUGUACAAGUUAUCAUAUGUAGAGAAAGAUUUCAGUUCUUUCUGAAGUGCUGAGUUUUGAACACCAAAUACACCUAUACUACCACUCCAAGGUAAACGUCUUUUUGUGUCAUCUACUGUAUAUAAAGGUAAGACUAGGAAUAUGGCCUACAGUCCUCUUUUUAUAGCUUGUAAUAUUCAUUAUAUUGCCAUUAGUUGUGGUCUCUUUAGAAAUUUCAACCCAUUUUCUAUUUAUUACCCAUUGAACAACUAGCUUUGAUUAUAAAUGUGGCCAGUGUAGGCACCACCCAUAUUAUUGCCAUCUUUAAGUGUCAAAGGGGAGAAUUUCCUCUUCAUUAAUUAACAUACCCUUCUGUUGUUCAUUUAAAUUGCAUUUUUCCGCUUUAAAUGUCAAGAGUCUAAAUCUUAUGCAGCAGCAGAAAGUUCAGAAGAUUUCCAUAUUGUAUUUCCUGUCCUUCUCUUUUCUUACUUUCUGAAAACUACUUGAACAAUUCUGUUCUCUACUUCUCUUAAACAAAUAAUAUUUGGAAUCGUGAGUCAUAAAAAUUAAAAGAUUCAUUUUACAGUUGCAGAAGCAUGCUCAGAGGGCUGAAGUUGCUUGCCCAAGAUUACACAGCCAAGGGGGAGUCAGGUCCGGUUUUGAAAGGUGGCCACAGUUCUUUCCUGCCCAACAUCACUCAACCACCACCACCUCAUAAAACACACACACACACACUCACACACACACACACACUCACACACACACACACACACAUCCCAACUACAUUCCUCCUUUCUCACCUAAUUCUCCUAAUACCCUUAUUUUCCUGUCACCCAAACCCUAAUCCUCCUCCCCUACACCUCAUCAGUGCUUCAACUGUUGGUUUUUUCUCCAAAUCUGCUUGGUCUCUGGUCCCAUCUCCAUCCCACCUGCUCUAGGUCCAUGACCCCCAUCCUUACCCACCUGCCUCUUCUGUAUGUUUCCUUCUGCCCCCAUGUCUUUUUAAUCCACAGUUCACACUGUACUACCUCCAGAUAACUCUACAGUAAUCACAGUUCUCAUGAUGCCAAAAUGCUUGCAUUUUUUCAAUGAAGCUCCACUGCCUAAUGAAUGAAAUCCAAGCUCCCUCUCUGACAUCCAGGACUCUUCAAAAUCUGGCUCCAUUUUUUCCCCUACUGCCAUCCUUCACACAACCAAUACUAAUGAAAUCAUGCACAGUCCCCUGCCAGUCACCUCUGUGUUCCCCAGUCCUGGGCCUCUCCUCAUGCUGCUGUGCCCAGCUGGAACAGCCCUUCCUGGCACAGCCAAGACUGGAGCUAAUUCAAAUGAUCACUCCUGUGAUCCUUCAAGCCAGGGUGAAAUCUCCCUUGUCCGAAUUUCAUAGUAUUUUGAUCCCUUACAGUUCUUGCCAUAGUAUACCUGGUGUUUUCAUUUCUUCAAUACAUGACUUACUUCCUCUCCCAAUCAAGAAAGCAGUGAGUCAGUGAUUGUAUCACUGUGGGUCCAUCUCAGACUUAACACAACAUCGGGCACACAGCAAGCACUCACAUAGAUUGCUCCAGUGAAUGCAUUUGGGAUCCCAGAGGCUGCCUUCCCCUGUUAGAGCAUAUAUAUUCCUGCAGUCAAGCACAGACGUAACACACAUCAGCCAGGAAUAGAGGCAGAAGAGCAAGAAAACACUUUGUCAUCCUAGGGUAAUCCAAAUAAUAAAAAAAAUACAUUAAAAUAGAAAAGGUUGGGGAUCCCUGGGUGGCUCAGGAGUUGAGCGCCUGCCUUCAGCCCAGGGUGUGAUCCUGGAGACCCAGGAUCGAGUCCCACAUCAGGCUCCUGCAGGGAGCCUACUUCUCCCUCUGCCUGUGUCUCUGCCUCUCUCUCCCUCUGUGUCUCUCAUGAAUAAAUAAAUAAAAUAUUAAAAAUAAAAUAAAAUAGAAAAGGUAUUGGGCUAUAUCUUGGGGGGGAGGGGCAUGGAGAGGGCUGGCUUUAAUGUUCCUGGUUCCACAAUUUCCAAGCAAGAUGGAGGUAGAUCAUAGGAGGUGUUCUGGGUGAAAACUGAUUAUAUAAUGGGCCCCUUUGACCAGGAAACCAUGAUAUACAAACAGCGAAGCCACUCAACAGAUACCUUUAGCCCAUGGAAAAAUAAAAUGCUCAAUCAUAAUUAGGUUAUAUUGUUCAUUAAAAUAUAGUUCCAGCUGCACCCAAAGCAAGCCUGAAAGGAGCUGAAUCUCAGCAUUCAGCAAUGAUUUAGAGGGGGGAAAUGGGGCUCUAUAAUUUGUGAGUUUUCAAUCACACAUCAAUCUGAUUUCACUUCCAUGUGUCUCUCCUCAGUUGUCUCUAUCCCUGCACACACCCAUCCUUCAAAGCCUAGACAGGAGGGUAGAAGGUUACAGUCCUAAGGAGAGUUACAGUCCUUAGAAGAGGUUGUAGGUUUCAUUUUCUUGUUGUUAUUUUUUAAAGGGAAUUUUUUUCCUUCCUAAAAUUUAAAAAGAGAUGGAAAACCCAUUAGGUAAUUAGGACCAACUCAAGAGACCAAUUCAAGACUGUUCCCUACAGUUCACUCUCCAGAAAUUUUCCAGUCCACUUCCCUGGGGAAAUGUUAAAGUUGCCCCUCCUAUAGCUAUUUUCAAAUGCAGCCUGAAAAUGCCUGGUACCACUGCAAAGCUUUAAAUGUACACUUUAUAACAAGACCUGAGCUGCAAUCGCAAGCACUAUGAAAACCAGUAUCUCUGCUUUUUGCAAGGGGGCAAAACAGUCCUACGCACGUCAGGUUUCUAUGCAUUUCCGAGUUAGCUUCACCUUAGUUGUUCUCCCCAGCAAGCCUCAACCUGUGGAAUAGUUAGUAUUGUCAGUCUCAGAAGUUACAACUUUUCAGCUUGGGCACAAGAUUUUCAUGAAUCUCUCUCCAUCAUCAAAAUGGCAAAAGCAAGCUACCAACUUCUAGAAUUCUCAAUCAGUAAAGUAGACUAGCAAACUUACCAACUUAGGACCUGUAGCUAGUGUUGCAAGGAAUCCAAAUUGUCCGAAGGCUGACUAUAUGAUUUACAGCUUAAUUACAGUCAAGAGUAUAGCACUGGGAUCAUGGCAGAUCUGGGUUCCAAUCCUGCUUCACAAUUUAUUGACUUUAUAAUACCAGACAAAUUAAGUGAUGUCUCUAAAUCUGUUUCUCCACCAUAAAACAGGCAAAAUAAUACCUAGUUCAGAGAAUUCUGAUGAUCGUGGCACAAUACAUGUAAAAGUGCUUUGCACAGAGCAUCCUGGGGUCCACAAGAAAUCCACAGUAAAUGUUAAUGGUAAUAUAUGCACUUAAAUUACUAUUAGCCUGAAUAGAACCACAGUACCUUGCAUUUAGAAAAGACCUAAUUUACUCAUGUCAAAUUAUGCCCAGGUUGUUGUUUUUUUGCUUGUGUGUGUUUUUUUUUUUUUGAUUUUGCACUGAGUUUUCUUAUUCUUCAUUCCUUUUUCUUUAUCUCCUCAUUUGUUUAUAAUAUUAACAACCUUAAAUGUAGACAUCUUUUAUCUUAUGACCCCAAAUGCUUUAUAUAAAGCUUCCAAAGAGUGAUUUAAUAUCUUGCUCAUUUGUAAAUGCCUUGACUAUAAAUUCCAAAAAUUUAAAGGAUUCCCUCUGAGCUAAGGGAUACCAUAAGAAUUUUAACGGUAUUUGUGAAUUAAAUGUACACUCUCCCUAGCAAGUGCU